GAUGAACGCUAGCGGCAGGCUUAACACAUGCAAGUCGAGGGGUAUAGUUCUUCGGAGCUAGAGACCGGCGCACGGGUGCGUAACGCGUAUGCAAUCUACCUUUUACAGAGGGAUAGCCCAGAGAAAUUUGGAUUAAUACCUCAUAGUAUGUGAGAAUCGCAUGGUUUUCACAUUAAAGUUCCAACGGUAAAAGAUGAGCAUGCGUCCCAUUAGCUAGAUGGUAAGGUAACGGCUUACCAUGGCGACGAUGGGUAGGGGUCCUGAGAGGGAGAUCCCCCACACUGGUACUGAGACACGGACCAGACUCCUACGGGAGGCAGCAGUGAGGAAUAUUGGUCAAUGGGCGCAAGCCUGAACCAGCCAUGCCGCGUGCAGGAAGAAGCAUCUAUGGUGUGUAAAACUGCUUUUGUACGGGAAGAAACACUCCUACGUGUAGGAGCUUGACGGUACCGUAAGAAUAAGGAUCGGCUAAACUCCGUGCCAGC
rnacentral:rRNA from 1 species